UUCGUAUAAAAAUGAAGGAAAUGAUGGUCAAAGUCAUCAGUUUAAACAGUAUUGUGGCUGAAACAAAUUCAAACUAAAGAAAAAUGAAUAAAAGUGCCUUUGCGAUCAUCCUUUUCAUUUCGCUCGCGGUAGCGUGUAUUGCUGCCCCUGAACCAGAUCCAGAAGCGCAUCCAUGCUUUUGGUGGCUUCUUUUAACUACAACAACUACUACUGCAGCACCAACAGCAUCCGUUAGUGUUUCCGUAAGUGGAUCCGGUGGAUCGGGUGGAUCAAAAGAAUCAGGAUCGAAAGGAGAUUAAUAGUACUGACGACGGUAAUCUUUUAUUGUGACUUCACUUCCGACCGAGCAACCCUUUAGCAGAUAACGUCUUAGUUUGGACAUUCUUAUUUUGACGAGCUGGAAGUUGGUAGACCGCUGAGGUCAAAAUAACAAUGUUCAAACAAUUACCUAAGUAAUAUUACUUGCGAAGCCCCGCGGAAAUGAGAACUACCACAGAUGUUAUCAUUACCGUGGGGUGCUGCGAGUAAAUAAAAUCCGCAAAUUUGAAUCUCCCUGUAAAAUAAAUUUUGUUGAAAAGUAAAAAA